UGGAUGUUUUUGGUCAAUUCAUUAAUUGCAUUAUUUGUGCAGUGAUCCCUUGAAGGCCUUGUUGAAGCAGUAAUGCACUACUCUGAGGCUGAUGGAGCUCCUGUUUCUGAACCCACAGAAACCCCAACACCUUUCACCACCACAUCUGAGCCCUUCACAGAAGAUGAUGAGUCUCUUCUCCUGCCAACUGUGAGCUCACCUGAGAGGGACACGACUACUGUCAAGUCUCUGGACGUCAGCCCUGCAGCAGAUGAGCUAGAUACUGACUCCAACUCUCCGGUCUAUCCUUACAGUAGCACAUCGUUACACGGCAUGUUGUUGGAAAGUAAAGCUGACACAGUGGCCUCCGCUGCCUCUGAGGGCCAUCCUGAAGGUUUACAGAAGAGAUCGGUCUGAUGUGGUGUGGACGGUCAGUUUGAGAAAUAAACAUUCCAAACUGUAUUGGCUGUGGGCUCUUCUUCUGCUGGGCUAGCAGAGUAUCAGCGGCACCCAUUUAACCCCUUAAGUUAUGCCCAGAGCUUUAUUAUGCACUCCUAUAACCCAAGAAUGUC
ensembl:lncRNA